UUUCCGUAGGUGAACCUGCGGAAGGAUCAUUAUUGUAUAACCGAGGUGCGAGGGCUGUCGCUGACCCGAAAGGUCGUGCACGCCCGAGUACCCUCACACACAUCCAUCUCACCCCUAUGUGCACCACCGCGUGGGUCCCCCUUUGGCUUGUUCGGAGGGGGGCUUACGUUUUCACACAAACUUUGUAUGCAGUGUAGAAUGUAUUUUCUGUUUUUGCGAUCACGCAAUCAAUACAACUUUCAACAACGGAUCUCUUGGCUCUC
rnacentral:misc_RNA from 1 species